GAGCGGAGAUGAGGUGCUUGCACCUUAUCUUAGCGGCGGACGGGUGAGUAAUGCUUAGGAAUCUGCCUAUUAGUGGGGGACAACAUUCCGAAAGGAAUGCUAAUACCGCAUACGUCCUACGGGAGAAAGCAGGGGAUCUUCGGACCUUGCGCUAAUAGAUGAGCCUAAGUCGGAUUAGCUAGUUGGUGGGGUAAAGGCCUACCAAGGCGACGAUCUGUAGCGGGUCUGAGAGGAUGAUCCGCCACACUGGGACUGAGACACGGCCCAGACUCCUACGGGAGGCAGCAGUGGGGAAUAUUGGACAAUGGGGGGAACCCUGAUCCAGCCAUGCCGCGUGUGUGAAGAAGGCCUUAUGGUUGUAAAGCACUUUAAGCGAGGAGGAGGCUACUGAGACUAAUACUCUUGGAUAGUGGACGUAUCGCAAAUAAGCACGGCUAACUCUGUGCCAGCCGCCGCG
rnacentral:rRNA from 1 species